ACUCCUACGGGAGGCAGCAGUGGGGAAUAUUGCACAAUGGGCGCAAGCCUGAUGCAGCCAUGCCGCGUGUAUGAAGAAGGCCUUCGGGUUGUAAAGUACUUUCAGCAGUGAGGAAGGUGGAUAUGUUAAUAGUACAUAUUCAUUUGAUCGUUUAGCUUGCAGAAGAAGACACCGGCGUAACUCCGUGCCAGCAGCCGCGGUAAUACGGAGGGUGCGAGCGUUAAUCGGAAUUACUGGGCGUAAAGCGCAUGCAGGUGGUUUGUUAAGUCAGAUGUGAAAGCCCGGGGCUCAACCUCGGAAUUGCAUUG
rnacentral:rRNA from 1 species